GGAGAGGUGUCCGAGCGGUCUAAGGAGCACGACUGGAAAUCGUGUAUACGCCCAAAGCGUAUCGCGGGUUCGAAUCCCGCCCUCUCCGCCA
rnacentral:tRNA from 1 species